CGGUAGCGCGGGAAGCAGCGUUCGCCAAUAUUAUUUAAAGGCCUCUAACGCUGCAGGAAAAUUUUAGUAGAAGAUUUAGAACUAUGUAUGUAUUUAGUUUUAGCGUUUGUUCCCGCUUUGAGGGCGUGAAAUGCCGUGUCAAUGUCCCUAAUAAGUCAUUGUCCCGGCAUUUCAAUUGUCGCCCAUAAGCAUGAACCAGGCCACCAACUCACAAGCUUACAUGCAACAACUAAACUAACACAAGGUCGUCCAUAUGGCACCUUUCCUUGGACAAGGCAUCCUCCAAUUGGCACGCGGUAAAUUGACUUAGAUUGUUUGCCCUGGCAAACUUAUGUACUCCAAACUCAUCCACUGGACGAUGCUGGCUGUAUUUCUUGCGUGGGCGAUCUUGUCGCCGACGGGCGAUGUUGUCCAGGGCGUUCCGGUCAAACUCGUAGGCGCCGACCUCAUUACCGUUGUCCAUGGACAUUGUGUUGGAAGGAUACGUUAAGGUUCCGAUAAAAUGAAGAAAUGAAGCGCUCCUUCAUAGUAUGGAGAUGGUAGAAUCGUCAAGCAACUUUUGAACGACCAGGGAGAGUUGCUGAUAGGCGAAUUUGUAUGAAGCUAUAGAAUUCCUUUAUUCUUUCAAGGUAAAUGAAUGCUUAUGUAUUCGUCCG
rnacentral:lncRNA from 1 species